rnacentral:miRNA from 1 species
GAGGAAGGGGCAAGUGUAGGAGGACAGGACCCCAGGCAGGGAGGGAAAGUCCAGGUCCAGCCUGGCCUGAAUUGCUGCCCCCUUUUCCCUGCACUGCCUCUUCCCUGGCUGCUCCCAGACCUUGGAGGCCUCCCUUGCCUCU